UUCUCCUUCUCCUUCUCAUUAUCCUUAUCCUCCUUCUGCUUAUCCUUCUCUCACAAAGUUUCCUCCCUUGAAAUAUUUUCUUCAUCAUCGUAAACGUGCAGAUGAAUAGGUAGGACUAUAGAAUGUUGGCAUGGUGGACUAUAAAUUGCUACAAGGCGGGUUAGAGGGGCGGAUCAUUAUGGGUGCUUUUAAGACGUUUCUCCUCCAACCAAUAGGUCGGGGGUUUAAGUUAUCACGGAGAUGAAGCGCAUGCUCAGAGCAGCCACCGGAGCAACUCCUAAGCACUUUGCUGCGGUUGCCUUGAGAAGACAACGCUAACUGUUUGUUGCAAUUGAGAUCAAUGUUAAUUUCAAAUUCAAU